GACGAACGCUGGCGGCGUGCCUAAUGCAUGCAAGUCGAGCGACGCACAUCGGAGGGGUAACCCACCGAUAUGACGGAGCGGCGAACGGGUGAGUAACACGUGAGCAACCUGCCCCACAGAUCGGGAUAGCCCAGGGAAACCUGGAUUAAUACCGAAUACCCUCGAGUAACCACAUGAUUGUUCUAGGAAAUGCCUUUGUGCUGUGGGAUGGGCUCGCGGCUUAUCAGCUAGUUGGUGGGGUAACGGCCUACCAAGGCAUCGACGAGUAGCUGGUCUGAGAGGACGAUCAGCCACACUGGGACUGAGACACGGCCCAGACUCCUACGGGAGGCAGCAGCAGGGAAUCUUGCGCAAUGGGCGAAAGCCUGACGCAGCAACGCCGCGUGGGGGAUGAAGGCCUUCGGGUUGUAAACCCCUUUCAGGAGGGAAGAAAUUGACGGUACCUCCAAAAGAAGCCCCGGCUAACUACGUG
rnacentral:rRNA from 1 species